rnacentral:rRNA from 1 species
CCGCCGCGGUAAUACGGAGGGUGCAAGCGUUACUCGGAAUCACUGGGCGUAAAGGGCGCGUAGGCGGAUUAUCAAGUCUCUUGUGAAAUCUAAUGGCUUAACCAUUAAACUGCUUGGGAAACUGAUAGUCUAGAGUGAGGGAGAGGCAGAUGGAAUUGGUGGUGUAGGGGUAAAAUCCGUAGAUAUCACCAAGAAUACCCAUUGCGAAGGCGAUCUGCUGGA